rnacentral:ncRNA from 1 species
CCGGGCUACGUGGGCGCCCGGACAGGCGUGCGUGCGCCCAAGCCCCAC